rnacentral:rRNA from 1 species
ACUUCGGUUUGGGUGGCGGACGGGUGAGUAACGCGUAAAGAACUUGCCUCACAGCUAGGGACAACAUUUGGAAACGAAUGCUAAUACCUGAUAUUAUGAUUUUAGGGCAUCCUAGAAUUAUGAAAGCUAUAUGUGCUGUGAGAGAGCUUUGCGUCCCAUUAGCUAGUUGGAGAGGUAACGGCUCACCAAGGCGAUGAUGGGUAGCCGGCCUGAGAGGGUGAUCGGCCACAAGGGGACUGAGACACGGCCCUUACUCCUACGGGAGGCAGCAGUGGGGAAUAUUGGACAAUGGACCAAGAGUCUGAUCCAGCAAUUCUGUGUGCACGAUGAAGUUUUUCGGAAUGUAAAGUGCUUUCAGUUGGGAAGAAAAAAAUGACGGUACCAACAGAAGAAGUGACGGCUAAAUACGUGCCAGCAGCCGCGGUAAUACGUAUGUCACAAGCGUUAUCCGGAUUUAUUGGGCGUAAAGCGCGUCUAGGUGGUUAUGUAAGUCUGAUGUGAAAAUGCAGGGCUCAACUCUGUAUUGCGUUGGAAACUGUGUAACUAGAGUACUGGAGAGGUAAGCGGAACUACAAGUGUAGAGGUGAAAUUCGUAGAUAUUUGUAGGAAUGCCGAUGGGGAAGCCAGCUUACUGGACAGAUACUGACGCCGAAGCGCGAAAGCGUGGGUAGCAAACAGGAUUAGAUACCCUGGUAGUCCACGCCGUAAACGAUGAUUACUAGGUGUUGGGGGUCGAACCUCAGCGCCCAAGCAAACGCGAUAAGUAAUCCGCCUGGGGAGUACGUACGCAAGUAUGAAACUCAA